GUGAGGAAUAUUGCGCAAUGGAGGCAACUCUGACGCAGCCAUGCCGCGUGCAGGAAGAAGGCGCUACGCGUUGUAAACUGCUUUUAUCCGGGAAUAAACCUGCCUUCGUGAAGGUAGCUGAAUGUACCGGAAGAAUAAGGAUCGGCUAACUCCGUGCCAGCAGCCGCGGUAAUACGGAGGAUCCAAGCGUUAUCCGGAUUUAUUGGGUUUAAAGGGUGCGUAGGCGGCCUGUUAAGUCAGGGGUGAAAGACGGUGGCUCAACCAUCGCAGUGCCCUUGAUACUGAUGGGCUUGAAUGGACUAGAGGUAGGCGGAAUGUGACAAGUAGCGGUGAAAUGCAUAGAUAUGUCACAGAACACCGAUUGCGAAGGCAGCUUACUAUGGUCCUAUUGACGCUGAGGCACGAAAGCGUGGGGAUCGAACAGGAUUAGAAACCCUUGUAGUCC
rnacentral:rRNA from 1 species